rnacentral:lncRNA from 1 species
CCAAUCCAAGGUGGCAGAUGUUUCACGGGUGAGGAGCCUGGACUUCAGCCAGGCUGUCCAGAUCCAGAAAGUGCCGUCUCCAUCACUUCAUGACUAAGGCCUGCAGAGAGGAGAAGAAGCUGUCCAGGAUGCCAGAUGCCACCCACUCCAGCCUUAGGAGGUGCUCAGUCCAUUCCUCCUUCUGAUCUACAAGAACAGAAGAACAAAGUCUCUUUUCAUUGCAGCUUCUUUUCUCAGCCCUAAAAUAGCUUGGGCUUGCUAUCAGCAACCCUCCUUUCCAACUUUCUCAUUCAGAAGCAAAAGGUUUUUAAACCUGAGUAAGGAUCUGCUCCACGCUGUCACUUCUUUCAACUAAAGCCUGGGAAAGGAGCAUUGGAAAAGUCACGUCCAAGAUCAACCCAGAAAGCAGGCUCUGGUUUUGCUAGCGGCAGGCGGCAGUCCCAGGACGCUUCCCCGCAGUGCGCCCUUGGGCAAGCUGGCCUCCUCUCUG